UACAGAGGGUGCAAGCGUUAAUCGGAAUUACUGGGCGUAAAGGGCGCGUAGGUUGAUGUUUAAGUUGGAUGUGAAAGCCCCGGGCUUAACCUGGGAACUGCAUUCAAAACUGGGCAUCUAGAGUACAGGAGAGGGAAGUGGAAUUUCCGGUGUAGCGGUGGAAUGCGUAGAUAUCGGAAGGAACACCAGUGGCGAAGGCGACUUCCUGGACUGAUACUGACACUGAGGCGCGAAAGCGUGGGGAGCAAAC
rnacentral:rRNA from 1 species